UACGUAGGGUGCGAGCGUUAAUCGGAAUUACUGGGCGUAAAGCGUGCGCAGGCGGUUUUGUAAGCCAGAUGUGAAAUCCCCGGGCUCAACCUCGGAACUGCCUUCGAUACUGUGGGUCUCGAGUCCGGGAGAGGUGAGUGGAAUUCCUAGUGUAGAGGUGAAAUUCGUAGAUAUUAGGAAGAACACCAGUGGCGAAGGCGGCGACCUGGACAGAUAUUGACGCUGAGGUGCGAAAGCGUGGGGAGCAAACAGG
rnacentral:rRNA from 1 species